GCCCUCAUAGCUCAAUUGGUAGAGCAACUGAUUUGUAAUCAGUAGAUAACUCCAAAUCAGUUAAAAACA
rnacentral:tRNA from 1 species